GUUCUGUUGGUGUAGCGGUCAGCACAGGAGACUCUGACUCUCCAGACGGCAGUUCGAAUCUGUCACGGAACU
rnacentral:tRNA from 1 species